UACGAAGGGUGCAAGCGUUAAUCGGAAUUACUGGGCGUAAAAGGGCGCGUAGGCGGUUCAGCACAAGUCAGUUGUGAAAUCUCCGGGCUUAACUCGGAAAGGUCAACUGAUACUGUGCGACUAGAGUGCAGAAGGGGCAACUGGAAUUCUCGGUGUAGCGGUGAAAUGCGUAGAUAUCGAGAGGAACACCUGCGGCGAAAGGCGGGUUGCUGGGCUGACACGUGACGCUGGAGGCGCGAAAGCCGGGGAGCAAACGGG
rnacentral:rRNA from 1 species